CGGGCGGAGGCGGGGCGGCGGGCGGCGCUGUCAGCGCGAGGCGGCGGGCGGAAUGCAGCGGCCGGAGGCCUGGCCACGUCCGCACCCGGGGGAGGGGGCCGCGGCGGCCCAGGCCGGGGGCCCGGCGCCGCCCGGCCGAGCCGGGGAGCCGGCGGGGCUGCGGUUGCAGGAACCUUCCCUCUACACCGUCAAGGCUGUUUUCAUACUAGAUAAUGACGGACACCGCCUCCUGGCCAAGUAUUAUGAUGAUACAUUCCCCUCCUUGAAGGAGCAGAUGGCCUUCGAGAAAAAUGUCUUCAACAAGACCAGCCGGACUGACAGUGAGAUUGCAUUUUUCGGGGGCAUGACCAUCGUCUACAAGAACAGCAUUGAUCUCUUCCUGUAUGUGGUGGGCUCCUCUCACGAGAAUGAGCUGAUGCUUAUGUCCGUUCUCACCUGUCUGUUUGAGUCCCUGAGCCACGUGUUAAGGAAGAACGUGGAGAAGCGCUGGUUGCUGGAGAACAUGGACGGGGCCUUCUUGGUGCUGGACGAGAUUGUGGAUGGCGGCGUGAUUCUGGAGAGCGACCCCCAGCAAGUGAUCCAGAAAGUGAAUUUUAGGGCAGAUGACGGCAGCCUGAGCGAACAGAGUGUGGCCCAGGUCUCUCUGCCCAGACUAAUCCUGCUUUUAUGGACCUUCCCGCCUCAGUGCACUAACUCCCUCCUGCUGUGACAGCUAAGGCAGGGGACGGGACGGGACCCAAGCCAUCCCGCGACCCAAGCCAUCCCGCGUGGAGCCCCAGGUUCUUCAGUCUGCCAAGGAACAAAUUAAAUGGUCGUUACUGAAAUGAAGGCUGUGCAUUCAGGUCUCCCUGCCCCCAGAGCAUUUCCGCAAUCCUGGCAAAAGCUCAAAGACCCCAGGGAACAGGAGAGAUCCUUCUGUAUUCCUAAGCCCUCCCAGAACUGACUCCUGAGGUCUCUGGCCAGGGACUCUGAGAUGCAAAGAUUGGGCUUCAGCACUGACUCACCCCUUCUCACUGCCCUGGCCUGCCCCUUGGGCCAUGAGAACCAGCUGAGCUGCCUUAACUCAGACCUUAGGCAUCCCUGGCCCCAGAACCCUAAUAAACCUGCUUUGUCUCCUGCCAA